UGUAACAGGUGGCUGUGAAUAACGGUCAGUGUGGUGUAUUUGUUCACAGGUUAACUGGUUUACAUAAGGCUCCAUUGCAUCUUAUUUAUGCCCCAGUAGCUAAGUGCAAACUAUUGGUUAAAUGGUCUUACACUCAGCCAAUCAGACAGAGACCACAAUCAGCGGCUCACACAACUUGCAGACUGCACUUGAUACGACCGACCGUAAAACGAGCUCUAAGAUAAUGGAGUUCCGUUUUCAGAUUGUCACCAUCAUUGCCUGUUUUGUGUGUUUUACUGGAACUGAAAGCAUCGAGCCUUCAUUGAAAUCCAAAUGUGUGAAUAGACAUGAAAGGGUAGAUAUUACAUAUGAAAUGAUCAAGUAUAACAGCACAAAAAAGGGGCAAGCUAUUUUAUUAUUAUUAUUUUUUAAAUUUAUGUUGAUAUUAAAUUUAAAUAGAUAUAUUUAAAAACGUAAAUAAACCGGCCUAUUCCAGCAAUGAAAGGCAUAGGUAAGUUUUUCAAAUUAGCCUGUGGAAUAUUUUUUUACCUUUCAGUACGAAACCUAACAGCUAUAAACAAAUAUAGCUAUGAGCGAAGAAACUAUCAUGAAUAAAGGACAUGCUUUCGGCUUAAAGUUCAGUGAGAAAAA